rnacentral:rRNA from 1 species
UACAGAGGUGGCAAGCGUUGUUCGGAAUUACUGGGCGUAAAGGGCGCGUAGGCGGCCUUCUAAGUCGAACGUGAAAUCCCUCGGCUUAACCGAGGAACUGCCUGCCAGACUGCAAGGCUCGAGACCGGGAGAGGUGAGUGGAAUUCCCAGUGUAGCGGUGAAAUGCGUAGAUAUUGGGAGGAACACCAGUGGCGAAGGCGGCUCACUGGACCGGAACUGACGCUGAGGCGCGAAAGCGUGGGGAGCAAACAGG